AAACCGCCCUUUUCCGGUUCGUUGAGACGCCACUGCUUGCGAUACUGCUAUGGCGAGCCCGACAGCGAUAGUUUCAUACAACGCCGACUCCUGGGAAGAGUGCAUCAAGGGUGGAAGCGUGGAAGGAAAGUCUUUGUCUGUGAGGAUAAAAAAUUUGCAGCAGACAUUGAAUGUAAGGUUAACGGAACUUGUGGAUAAACAACGCGCAAAUGCGAAGGGCGACGUGAACCAGACGACAGUGGCGGACGCCACUGACGAGGGCGAAAGUGAAGAAGAUGAAGACGAAGACGAAGACGCUGUUCCAAGGAAGAAAGCAAAAACAUGAAUGAAAAGUGGUCAUGAGUCUCGAUGAAACGUUGCCUAAUAAACCUCACCUCGCCCAAA